rnacentral:misc_RNA from 1 species
UGGCUCUCGCAUCGAUGAAGAACGCAGCGAAAUGCGAUAAGUAAUGUGAAUUGCAGAAUUCAGUGAAUCAUCGAAUCUUUGAACGCACCUUGCGCUCCUUGGUAUUCCGAGGAGCAUGCCUGUUUGAGUGUCAUUAAAUUCUCAACCUUUAUUAGCUUUUUGGUUAGUAAAUGGAUUGGAAGUGGGGGUAUGUUGGUUUCUUUGUUGAAAUGAACUCCCCUGAAAUACAUUAGCUGGUUGCCUUGUGCAAACAUGUCUAUUGGUGUGAUAAUUAUCUACGCCGUGGACUAUUUGCCGUUUAUAGCACUGCUUAUAAUCGUCUGUUCAUUCGGACAAUAUAUGACAAUUUGACCUCAAAUCAGGUAGGACUACCCGCUGA